GACGAACGCUGGCGGCGUGCCUAAUACAUGCAAGUUGAGCGCUGAAGGUUGGUACUUGUACCAACUGGAUGAGCAGCGAACGGGUGAGUAACGCGUGGGGAAUCUGCCUUUGAGCGGGGGACAACAUUUGGAAACGAAUGCUAAUACCGCAUAAAAACUUUAAACACAAGUUUUAAGUUUGAAAGAUGCAAUUGCAUCACUCAAAGAUGAUCCCGCGUUGUAUUAGCUAGUUGGUGAGGUAAAGGCUCACCAAGGCGAUGAUACAUAGCCGACCUGAGAGGGUGAUCGGCCACCUUGGGACUGAGACACGGCCCAAACUCCUACGGGAGGCAGCAGUAGGGAAUCUUCGGCAAUGGACGAAAGUCUGACCGAGCAACGCCGCGGGAGUGAAGAAGGUUUUCGGAUCGUAAAACUCUGUUGGUAGAGAAGAACGUUGGUGAGAGUGGAAAGCUCAUCAAGUGACGGUAACUACUCAGAAAGGGACGGCUAACUACGUG
rnacentral:rRNA from 1 species